rnacentral:rRNA from 1 species
UGGGCGUAUGAGAUCUUCAUUGUUUGCAAUAUGUAUGUUUCUUUGGUGUACUUUUUCGUAUGGUAGGUCAACGUCGGUUUUGGUCGCCAUAAAAUGAUCGGAGGAAUGUAGCUUCGACCUCGGUUGAAGUGUUAUAGCCUUUGGUAAAUGUGGUGAUUAGGACCGAGGAUUGCAACGAAUACCUAUUAGGCUAUCCGUCUGACCUCUGAAAGUUACUUAGGUGCCGAAAGCUUGCUUACGGUCAUUUAAGUUGACGGUCAAUAGGUUAGAACGUGAUUACA